rnacentral:rRNA from 1 species
GACGAACGCUGGCGGCGUGCUUAACACAUGCAAGUCGAACGGAAAGGCCCUGCUUUUGUGGGGUGCUCGAGUGGCGAACGGGUGAGUAACACGUGAGUAACCUGCCCUUGACUUUGGGAUAACUUCAGGAAACUGGGGCUAAUACCGGAUAGGAGCUCCUGCUGCAUGGUUGGGGUUGGAAAGUUUCGGCGGUUGGGGAUGGACUCGCGGCUUAUCAGCUUGUUGGUUGGGUAGUGGCUUACCAAGGCUUUGACGGGUAGCCGGACUGAGAGGGUGAACGGAGAAAUUGGGACUGAGAUACGGCACAGACUACUACGGGAGGCAGCAGUGGGGAAUAUUGCAAAAUGGGAGGAAGCCGGAUGCAGAAACGCAGCGUGCGGGAUGACGGCCUUCGGGUUGUAAACCGAUUUCGACUGUGACGAAGAGGGAGUGACGGUAAUGGGUAAAGAAGCACCGGCUAACUACGUG